GUCCGUCGUGAAGAGGGAAACAACCCAGACCGCCAGCUAAGGUCCCAAAGUCAUGGUUAAGUGGGAAACGAUGUGGGAAGGCCCAGACAGCCAGGAUGUUGGCUUAGAAGCAGCCAUCAUUUAAAGAAAGCGUAAUAGCUCACUGGUCGAGUCGGCCUGCGCGGAAGAUGUAACGGGGCUAAACCAUGCACCGAAGCUGCGGCAGCGAACGUAUCACCCAAGACAACUUUGCGGAGUUGACGAUUGACGGAGCGAAGCGACGUCAAAGCGUUCAUUAAAGUCGAGUUGGCUUAGGGAUACGUUCGUUGGGUAGGGGAGCGUUCUGUAAGCCUGUGAAGGUGGCCUGUGAGGGUUGCUGGAGGUAUCAGAAGUGCGAAUGCUGACAUAAGUAACGAUAAAGCGGGUGAAAAGCCCGCUCGCCGGAAGACCAAGGGUUCCUGUCCAACGUUAAUCGGGGCAGGGUGAGUCGACCCCUAAGGCGAGGCCGAAAGGCGUAGUCGAUGGGAAACGGGUUAAUAUUCCCGUACUUGGUGUUACUGCGAAGGGGGGACGGAGAAGGCUAUGUUGGCCGGGCGACGGUUGUCCCGGUUUAAGCGUGUAGGUGUGUGUUCCAGGUAAAUCCGGUUCACUUUAACACUGAGGCGUGACGACGAGGCACUACGGUGCUGAAGCAACAAAUGCCCUGCUUCCAGGAAAAGCCUCUAAGCAUCAGGUAACAUCAAAUCGUACCCCAAACCGACACAGGUGGUCAGGUAGAGAAUACCAAGGCGCUUGAGAGAACUCGGGUGAAGGAACUAGGCAAAAUGGUGCCGUAACUUCGGGAGAAGGCACGCUGACACGUAGGUGAAGUGAUUUACUCAUGGAGCUGAAGUCAGUCGAAGAUACCAGCUGGCUGCAACUGUUUAUUAAAAACACAGCACUGUGCAAACACGAAAGUGGACGUAUACGGUGUGACGCCUGCCCGGUGCCGGAAGGUUAAUUGAUGGGGUCAGCGCAAGCGAAGCUCCUGAUCGAAGCCCCGGUAAACGGCGGCCGUAACUAUAACGGUCCUAAGGUAGCGAAAUUCCUUGUCGGGUAAGUUCCGACCUGCACGAAUGGCGUAAUGAUGGCCAGGCUGUCUCCACCCGAGACUCAGUGAAAUUGAACUCGCUGUGAAGAUGCAGUGUACCCGCGGCAAGACGGAAAGACCCCGUGAACCUUUACUAUAGCUUGACACUGAACAUUGAGCCUUGAUGUGUAGGAUAGGUGGGAGGCUUUGAAGUGUGGACGCCAGUCUGCAUGGAGCCGACCUUGAAAUACCACCCUUUAAUGUUUGAUGUUCUAACGUGGACCCGUUA
rnacentral:rRNA from 1 species